rnacentral:rRNA from 1 species
UACAGAGGGUGCAAGCGUUGUUCGGAAUUAUUGGGCGUAAAGGGCGCGUAGGCGGUGCGGUAAGUCUGUAGUGAAAUCUCUGGGCUCAACUCAGAGUCUGCUGCAGAAACUGCCGUGCUUGAGUGUGGGAGAGGUGAGUGGAAUUCCCGGUGUAGAGGUGAAAUGCGUAGAUAUCGGGAGGAACACCUGUGGCGAAAGCGGCUCACUGGACCACAACUGACGCUGAGGCGCGAAAGCUAGGGGAGCAAACAGG